GACGAACGCUGGCGGCGUGCUUAACACAUGCAAGUCGAACGGAAAGGCCCUGCUUUUGUUGGGUGCUCGAGUGGCGAACGGGUGAGUAACACGUGAUUAACCUGCCCUUGCCUUUGGGGUAACUUCAGGAAACUGGGGCUAAUACCGGCUAGGAGCUCCUGCUGUUUGGUGUGGGUUGGUAAGUUUCGGCGGUUGGGGAUUGACUCGCGGCUUAUCAGCUGGUUGGUGAGGUAGUGGCUUACCAAGGUUUUGACGGGUAGCCGGCCUGAGAGGGUGACCGGCCACAUUGGGACUGAGAUAGGGCCCAGACGCCUACGGGAGGCAGCAGUGGGGAAUAUUGCACGAUGGGCGGAAGCCGGAUGCAGCAACGCCGCGUGCGGGAUGACGGCCUUCGGGUUGUAAACCGCUUGCGCCUGUGACGAAGCGUGAGUGACGGUAAUGGGUAAAGAAGCACCGGCUAACUACGUG
rnacentral:rRNA from 1 species